rnacentral:rRNA from 1 species
UACAGGGGGGGCAAGCGUUGUUCGGAAUUACUGGGCGUAAAGGGCUCGUAGGCGGCCAACUAAGUCCGACGUGAAAUCCCAAAGCUUAACUUUGGAACUGCGUCGGAUACUGGAUGGCUUGAAUUCGGGAGAGGGAUGCAGAAUUCCAGGUGUAGCGGUGAAAUGCGUAGAUAUCAGGAGGAACACCGACGGCGAAGGCAGCACUCUGGGCCGGUACUGACGCUGAGGAGCGAAAGCAUGGGGAGCGAACAGG